rnacentral:rRNA from 1 species
UGCAGUCGAACGCGAAAGUGGUCUUCGGACCGCGAGUAGAGUGGCGCACGGGUGAGUAACGCGUAAAUAAUCUACCCUGGUGUCUGGGAUAACCAGCCGAAAGGCUGACUAAUACCGGAUAUAUGUGAGGUUGUUGGACCUCACAUGAAAGGUGGCCUCUUCUUGAAAGCUAUCGCACCUAGAUGAGUUUGCGUACCAUUAGCUAGUUGGUGGGGUAAAGGCCUACCAAGGCAACGAUGGUUAGCGGGUCUGAGAGGAUGAUCCGUCACACUGGCACUGGAACACGGGCCAGACUCCUACGGGAGGCAGCAGUGAGGAAUAUUGCGCAAUGGGGGAAACCCUGACGCAGCGACGCCGCGUGAGUGAGGAAGGCCUUCGGGUCGUAAAGCUCUGUCAGAAGGGAAGAAGUGUAAUACGGUUAAUAUCCGUAUUAUUUGACGGUACCUUCAAAGGAAGCACCGGCUAACUCCGUGCCAGCAACCGCGGUAAUACGGAGGGUGCGAGCGUUGUUCGGAAUCACUGGGCGUAAAGGGCGCGCAGGCGGUUUGUCAAGUCAGAUGUGAAAGCCCACGGCUUAACCGUGGAAGUGCAUUUGAAACUGGCAGACUUGAGUACCAGAGGGGAAGGUGGAAUUCCCGGUGUA